AGACAGACAGCCGCCAGGAGAGGAGGACCCGGCGGAGCUCUAACUUGAAGCUCCGCUGGGUUCCUCUCGCGAGAUCCGGCGCAUUGCCAUGGCAACGACCAGAUCUUGCGAGAGUGAACUCUAGCCCCACAGGCUAUGCGGGCUAGAGUUCACUCACCCACAAGGACCACCAGGGAACACUGCCACCCAGUCCCAGCGUGCCGGUCCCCCCCCUCCCAGGCUGAAGGUAAGAAGGGAGGGGGGGAUUUAAUGCCUGUUUUUUUGUUUUUAUUUACCCCCCUACAGACACACAAUCCAUUCUAACAUUUAU